rnacentral:miRNA from 1 species
UUAAGUAGGCACUUGCAGGCAAA